rnacentral:rRNA from 1 species
CCUACGGGAGGCAGCAGUGGGGAAUAUUGGACAAUGGGGGGAACCCUGAUCCAGCCAUGCCGCGUGUGUGAAGAAGGCCCUCGGGUUGUAAAGCACUUUCAGUGAGGAAGAACGCCUGGUGGUUAAUACCCAUCAGGAAAGACAUCACUCACAGAAGAAGCACCAGCUAACUCCGUGCCAGCAGCCGCGGUAAUACGGAGGGUGCGAGCGUUAAUCGGAAUUACUGGGCGUAAAGCGCGCGUAGGUGGCUUGAUAAGCCGGUUGUGAAAGCCCCGGGCUCAACCUGGGAACGGCAUCCGGAACUGUCAAGCUAGAGUGCAGGAGAGGAAGGUAGAAUUCCCGGUGUAGCGGUGAAAUGCGUAGAGAUCGGGAGGAAUACCAGUGGCGAAGGCGGCCUUCUGGACUGACACUGACACUGAGGUGCGAAAGCGUGGGUAGCAAACAGGAUUAGAUACCCCGGUAGUC